ACGCUCGACACCUACGGGUGGCAGCAGUGAGGGAUAUUGGUCAAUGGGGGAAACCCUGAACCAGCAACGCCGCGUGAGGGAUGACGGUCUUCGGAUUGUAAACCUCUGUUCUCUGUGAAGAUAAUGACGGUAGCAGAGGAGGAAGCUCCGGCUAACUACGUGCCAGCAGCCCGGUAAUCUGAGCGGGCUGGCAAGGC
rnacentral:rRNA from 1 species